AAUUUGAUUUUUGAUUUAGUUAACUUUUCCUUUUGUAAACUAGCUUGUUUCACAGUGCUUAUUUUUAUAUUAAGUAUACCCUUUGAUGUUCUUUUAUGUAAGAUGUCUGUUUUUUAGUUUCUAACUUUAUUCAUUAAUUACAUAAUGACCCACACUGUAAUGACAUGGGUUUUUAUGUGAGGAUGUAUGGAAUUGCUGAAAAAUUGAAAAGAUUGAAGAAGAGAAGCUGAUGGUUUCCAAAAGUAAGGAUUUUCAUUAGGGAACCAAAAGCUAUCCUCAUUCUAAUUAAUAAAUCCAACAAGACAGAUUUACACUUUUUUCUGUCACUCAGUGAGAGGAAUCAGAUCUUUUCUUGAGUUAGGAAGAAUAUGUCGCCCUAUGCAUUACUGUGAGUGAAAGACCCAGCACAGUAUGUUUUAUUAAGUUCCAUCCCUGCUGCAUAGGCCAGAGGUCUGUUGAAAUUACAGAGGAGUUUUCACACCAGGGAGGUUGUUUCAAUGUGGAACUGGGAAUGCAGGGGGAGGGAGAAGGCUAGAACUGCAUGCUUCUCCUCUUGCCUUAUGUUUCUUUUCAUUUUCACUCCCACUUUCAAGUGGAAGAAGGGCUAAAAGUAAAGCCAUAUGAGCUGUACUGAAACAAUUGGACUAGAGAGAACUGGUUGAUUUUGCAGGAAGCUCAGAUCUGCUUCCUGGCCCAGGGAAACUGAGGCCCGAAGAGAUGAAAGAAUAUGGCCAGCCUUAUGCACUACGGUCAGCAGAACAAGGAUCUGAAGACCAAAGGCCGUGCCCUUUCAGUGCAUCUCACAAAAACCGUGGAAGUAACAGGAAUGAAAACUUCAUGGGCAAAGCCUGACCCUGCUACAGACUCCAAGGACAGCACUGAACCUGGCUUGCUUUAAGGCCCAGCUUUACCUCUGCAGGCUCCGUAACCUUAAUUAAGUCCCUUAUCCUCUCUGAGCCUCAUUUUUCAUCAAUGAAAUGGAAGUAUUGACGCUUUCUUUCUAGGAUUGCUGCAUUAAAGGAUUUAAUGUAAGUGCAAGUGCUUUGUAAAUUGCACAAGCCAAUUUCAAAAUGAACCAUUACUGUGAUUAUUUAUAUUUGGAGAUUAAAAUCAUUUGGUGUUAAUAAAGGAACAAUGAUGGAUUAAUGACAUCCUGAAGAUCUAAAAUAGAGUUGUAGUGGGAUGCCAGAAAUUGGGUAAUGAACAGACAUGCUAUUGGUAAUUUCUCAAAAGUAUUAGAGGGACAAUGGGGGAAGAUCCCGAGUGUGGUAGGAGCUGUUUGGAGAAAGAACCAAGGGACAGAAUGUGCUUCAAAGACAUGCUUUCUGUAAGAGACAAAACCUCUUCAGCCCGGAGAGGUUACUGUGUGCCGUGAUUUUAUAGACAGCACGGGGUAGUCAAAUGAGUUAGUCUCUGAUCUGCCACUUCCUAAUUGUGUGAAUUCUUUAAUCUCUCUGCAAAACGUGAAGAGAAUGACACCUGUCUCAACGGGGUUAUCAAGAUUAAAUGGGAUGAUACAUGGAAAGUGCCUGGCUUCUAAUAUGGCUCAGUAAAUAUGUUUUUCUCCUCCUCCUUCUUUUAUUUUUUUGGUCAGAUAGGGGCUCUAACUAGGUGAGCCACUAUCAAUACUAUGAGAAGCGUAUGUGCUUCUCAGAGCAUUCAGGCAAGGUCAGAAAGCAAUCAGUAGAAUCCUAAUAAAUUCUCUGGGAUUACUCAGGAUGCUGUCCAACCUUGUUAAUAGAGUUUGAGUAUAUGUAGCCACUUCAAUUAUCAUCUGGUGCAGAGAAAGUUGUUGGUGUUCAGUACGUGGAAAGACUCUGAAGAGGGGGCUCUGAGGAAAGCAAGGAGGUGUCUGUGCUGAGCGAAGGGUGUACAGGGAUUCAAUUCAGGACCCCUUCAGAGAUAAGCAUUCUGUGUUGAGGAAUGAGGAAAGCAAUCAUCAGCUAAGCCAGACUUUGGUAAGAAGCUCUUGCUAAGGGACGCCUUAUGAAGAAUCAAGUUUUCCAAACGGUAGAGUUGACUCAUUGAGUCAUUUUUAAGUAUUUGUUAUCUACCACUCUUUGGGCAAACAACUGAGGGUUUAUAAAUGUAAACAUUUCAAUUAUAAAAUAUAACUUUUUAAGAAUUGUUAAUUCAAAAUACAUCUAAAUAAGAAUGAGUAGUCAAUGAUUUUAGCUAUUAAAUAUAUAAGCAUAUUAAAUUAUGCAAGUAAAAUGGAAAUCAGUUGAAAAAAGGAAGCUUUUUUCCAUGUCGUCAACUUUAGACCUAAGGCGAUCUGUUUGCAUAGUGUGCUGAAUGUGGACAAAAUGUGGUCAUAGGACAGCUACUUGGUAUUUUUAUCUUCCAGAUUUUUCCUAUAGUCCUCACUAAAGAAAACAAAUUCAAAGUGAGUGAAGUUUUAAAACUUACCUAUAUUUCAAAGUUCCAUAGGCUUCGAAUUAUUGUUGUUAUACCACAAGAAAUUCCAUCUUUUUUCCAUAUUAGGUUAGGAAAUGAUUCUGACAUUUCCCAUAUCUCUUUCUUCCACACUAUCUAUAUUUUGUAAUAAUACUAAUAAUCUCAUCUUAUAUUUGAGCUUUCCAAUUUUAUAUGUUCAUCAUCUCAUUUUAAGCCAAGGCAAUUUAAACACUUAUAUCAGAAGUUGCUGCCUCUGUCCCGAUCCUGUAUGAUGGGCAGGGAAGGACAUGGAGAAGUGAGGUCAACACCUGUGACCAAAUAAUCAGGGAAGUAACAGGGAGAAAAUGUUAGUGAAGUCUUCCCAUAGUGCCUUCUUUUCCAAAUACCAUAGUUGUGAUUGGGGUGGGCCUGGGAAAGAUGUGAUGGAGGGGCAGUCUAAACACACCCAUGGACCUGUCACUUGUCCUAAGGUGAGAGUGGGAGCUAGGGCUGUGAAGAAGGACUGUUUCUUGAUCAUCUGCCAUGUGCCAGGUAGAUGCUAAUAGCUUAGCACACAUAUUUUUAAUCUGCUCAACAACUGUAAAAGAUAGAUAUUUUUACUAUCAUCCCUUAGGUGAGGAAAUCAGCUUAGAGAGCUGUGGUAAGUUACCAAUAUGUAUUUUAAGAAUACGUCUUGUGUUUAUUUUACAUUUAGUUGUAAAUUUACAUUAAAAUUUCUCUUGUUGCCUUCUGAUGUGGUUCCUUAGUCUUUAUUAGAAAUCCAAAUGGAAGAUCUGAUUGUUUCCUUACAAACGAGAAUAGCCCUUAUACAUGCAGCAUGUGACAAAAUAAAAAUAAAAGUAGUUUGGAAUAUCUCAGUGA